AGUGAACGCUGGCGGUAUGCCUAACACAUGCAAGUCGAACGGCAGCACAUUAAGAGCUUGCUCUUACGGGUGGCGAGUGGCGGACGGGUGAGGAAUACAUCGGCAUCUACUUUUUCGUGGGGGAUAACGUAGGGAAACUUACGCUAAUACCUCAUACGAUUUACCGGUGAAAUCAAGUGAUCUUCAUACCUUUCGCUAUUUCAUGAGUCGAUGUCGGAUUUGUUAGUUGGCGGGUGAAAGGCCCACUAAGGCGACGAUCCGUAGCUGGCCUGAGAGGAUGACCGGCACCAUUGGAAUUGAGAAACGGCCCAGACUCCUCCGGGAGGCAGAAGAGGGGAAUAUUGGACAAUGAGCGAAGGCCUGCUCCAGCAAGACCGCGUGGGUGAAGAAGGUCUUCGGGUUGUAAAGCCCUUUUGUUGGGAAAGAAAAGCAGCAGGUUAGUACCCCGAUGUUGUGACGGUAACCAAAGAAUAAGCAACGGCUAACUUCGUG
rnacentral:rRNA from 1 species